rnacentral:rRNA from 1 species
GACGAACGCUGGCGGCGUGCUUAACACAUGCAAGUCGAGCGAGGCCCUUCCUUCGGGGGGUGCCCUAGCGGCGAACGGGUGAGUAACACGUGGGCAACCUGCCCUCAGCUCUGGGAUAACUCCAAGAAAUUGGUGCUAAUACCGGAUGUGACCGCUGACCGCAUGGUCUGGUGGUGGAAAGAUUCAUCGGCUGAGGAUGGGCCCGCGGCCUAUCAGCUUGUUGGNGGGGUCACGGCCCACCAAGGCGACGACGGGUAGCCGGCCUGAGAGGGUGACCGGCCACACUGGGACUGAGACACGGCCCAGACUCCUACGGGAGGCAGCAGUGGGGAAUAUUGCGCAAUGGGCGAAAGCCUGACGCAGCGACGCCGCGUGAGGGAU